rnacentral:tRNA from 1 species
AGCGGGGUGGGCUAGCCUGGUUUAUGCCGCAGGGCUCAUAACCCUGAGAUCGUUUGCUCACUUACGAGCUAGCGUCAGAGUCGUUCGUUCAAAUCGAACCCCCGCUA